rnacentral:rRNA from 1 species
UACCAGCUCUCCGAGUUGUAGGGAUGAUUAUUGGGCUUAAAGCGUCCGUAGCUGGCUUAGCAAGUCUCCUGUUAAAUUCAGCGACCUAAUCGUUGAGCCGCGGGAGAUACUACUAGGCUAGGAGGCGGGAGAGGUCGACGGUACUUUCGGGGUAGGGGUGAAAUCCUAUGAUCCCGGGAGGACCACCAGUGGCGAAGGCUGUUGACUAGAACGCGCUCGACGGUGAGGGACGAAAGCUGGGGGAGCGAACCGGAUUAGAUACCCGGGUAGUCCCAGCUGUAAACGAUGCGAGCUAGGUGUUGGGGUGGCUACGUGCCACUUCAGUGCCGCAGGGAAGCCAUUAAACUCGCCGCCUGGGGAGUACGGCCGCAAGGCUGAAACUUAAAGGAAUUGGCGGGGAGCACCACAAGGCGUGAAGCUUGCGGUUC